GUUGUUGGAGGCACAGAGGUCACGGAACUCAGAGGGUAAGGUAUUGAGUGAGGUCACAGAACUCAGAGGGUAAGGGAUUGAGUGACUCACUGUGCUUCUAGACUAUGAAGUCGCCAAGAAUGCUGAUGGGAGUGAGGGCGGGGCAGCAGGUGCUUAAGUGAUGAAGGGGAGGAAGGGAGUAGGUUGACGAGCAGCCUUGACAAGGGCAGGUGGCGGAUAAUGAAGUUUGGUGGCAUGGCUUUUAAAGGUUGUGGGAGUUUUGAAGGAGGAGGGAAGAGAAUAAGUUUCAUGGUGCAACCCCACCUCCACCCCAUGCCUGAGGAAUCUAGGCUUGGAGAGUCUCAUCAACCAGUCUCCAGCACUGCAGCUUGCAAAUGGCAUCUAGGACGAAGGACACAUGGCUGUGCCUUCCAUCCCACUGAUUCAUCCACAGGUGUCACACUGAGCCCCUGGCUGCUCUGCUUUGGGUCAGAGUCUACAACAUCUUUUGUAAUUAUGCUGGUGAGCAUUUCGAUGUCCACACUUCACCUUAAAGUUAUUUUAGGUUUCCCUAAUGAACUUGGGUGUGAUGAAAGUUAUCAGAAUUUUUAGGAGGGUGGCAAAAAGUGAUUCAUUUCUCACCUCGUUGUACAAUGGUAGAAGUGAUACUUUGGGACUUUUGAGUGAAAUCAUAGGUGCAAAAAAAAAAAAAAAAGAAAAAAAAAUCAGAAUUUCUGGCUCACAGCCAAUGAACCUCAUCAUGCCAACCCUGAGCCAAAAAGUCCACAGCCUACCACACUCCAAGGGAGGGAGCACAGGGUCUAGUAAACUUAGUUUCACUGACUGCAUCCUCAAGCUGGAGGAUAAUGUUUGGAUCUUUGAGACACAACAAAAGCGAUAGCUUCAUGCUACUAGAUACUUUGCACAUGCCUGGUCUGAGCAUGACCUGUUCAGUAACUAGUACGCCAACCUGUGAAAUAGGACCUUUGCCUACUUCCAUCCUAAGGCAAGAAGGCUAAUGCUUUUGGAUGAGUUCACUUGUCCACAUAGAGGGUGAGUACAUAAAGAAAUGUUCUUUUCUUCUGGAGUCUUUCCUUUUUUUAGAACUUGCUUACACUAUAUUACAUAUAUCCGUCACAAUGGGUUAAACUGGAAUCAGACCUGCUGUCUGUGGCCUGCCCCAUUUCUCUGGCCUUUGAACCUUGUCCUCUGUGGCCGUGGGAGUGGUGGUGGCAAGGUGGCUCAUGUAACCACAGAAGGAAGGAAGUACCUCAUCAUUUCCUCAAGUUGAGCCUCCCAUUUCCUCACCUCCAGAUGAAGUUGGAAGAACGCCUGGGUUUGGACUAGGACUGAGGAUCCUGGGAUCUGAGAUAUAGAGGAGAAUUUCCAGGCAAUCUAAAUUGAAAUCUAGAUAGUAGGUUCUCACUAGAGGUGGAGUAUAUUUUUAAAUGCUAAGAUCUAGGUGAUUGGGUGGAACCCUCAGGAUCUUUCUGUAUUGGGAAAGGUCUUUGUACACUGAAACUAGACAAGCAGGAAUAUUAGGCCAGAUGGAAUUAUGCUCAUGUCACAGAACUAGCACAGAGCAUGGGAUUUGGUCAAAAGUACUUAACUCUGCAACUUGCCUAGACUCAGGCAGGCGGUCUUCUGUCCAAAUGGUAGGGAGAAUGCAGAAGAGAGUUGGGUUUUGUUGUUGUUCUUGUUGCUGCUGCUGUUGUUUGAGACAAAUAUUUUAAUACAAUUUAUUUUUCAUUGUACUCCUUUCACAGCUGAGGUCAAUGAGAUUUGGGACUGCACAAAAUCAGUCCUUGAAAGAUAAGGCAGGCUGUGACACCAUGUGUCCCAAUUCCUUGUUGCUUACUACUGAUAGCUCACGAGUGCUUUAGGUUCUUGUCUGGUUCAUGCGCAGUUGAGCCCAUCUGUUCUUAUGGUCCUUCCUCUCAAAAAAGGACAUACUUUGCAGGCUCCCACAUGGUCAGAAGGCUCUCAUAAGUGAAAUGGCUCCCACCAGGACUAACCAAACUCUCUUGUUACAAAUCUUUUGGAAAUACCAGUGACCACAGUCAUGUCUUAGAGAGUAGCAUUUAAUGAGUGUAACUAAGAUUUUCACAUAAUCCAAGAUGCUACCAAUCCUCCAGGCCGUUGUUCAGGAGAUCUCUAUGGGCACCUUAUGAGACAUAACCUACUUUGACAUUAAGACAAAUCUUUUUUUUUUCCAUUUUUUAAUCAUUUUAUUUGUUUACAUUUCAAAUACUAUCCCCUUCCCAGUUACCCCUCUACAAACUUCCCAUUUCAUACCCUUUCUUUUUUUUUAAUUUUUUUAUUAUUUUUUUUAUUAACUUGAGUAUUUCUUAUAUACAUUUCAAGUGUUAUUCCCUUUCCCGGUUUGCGGGCAAACAUCCCCCUCCCCCCUCUCCUUCCUUAUGGGUGUUCCCCUCCCAACCCUCCCCCCAUUGCCGCCCUCCCACCACCAGUCUAGUUCACUGGGGGUUCAGUCUUAGCAGGACCCAGGGCUUCCCCUUCCACUGGUGCUGACAUUAAGACAAAUCUUACAUCAUCUUCUAUGCUUAUGAAAGUAAGUCGAACAACAGAAUAAUUGAAGAAUUUGGACUGUUGAAUCUGGAUAAGUAAAGAGUUCUUUUUACAUUCUAUAGGCUGUUCUACCUUUGUCCCACCAGCCACAUGAAACAAGUUGUGAAUAAUAUUUAAUGUCAUAGAAACUUCUUAAUAUUCAUAAAAACAUUGUGCUCUCUCCGUGGCUUAGAACAUGUCCACCGUAAAUCAAACAGGAAAAAGAUAAACAAAUCUAUAAGAGACUGUCACUUGGCCUAGAAUAUGAAUUUGCCCUUUCAGCUUCCUCCAGUUCUGAGAGACAGAACAGGGUUUUGACCUCCAUCUUGGGUCUGUUGCAGUACCCACAGGGUGAGGUGGUUGGUGCUUGGCUCUCUUUCAGGUUCUCAGGCUCCUAAAUGGACAGCCAUUGUGGUGGGAGGAUUUGGCCACCUGUCUUCCCUCUGAUGCAAUUGGGUUACUCAAUCAAUAGAAAUGGCACUGGCUUGGCUGCCUGGAUGUCUUUUUUCUGAAUCUAGUGAUUGUUUCAUAGGUCAAGGCUUUUGUCUUCUUUCCUUUAAUCAAGUAGAACAGUUACAAUUGUGUGUGUUCCUAAUGUAGUCAUCACUUUUCUUGUGCAACCCUGGGAAACAAGUAUCCUCACAGGGUCACUUUAUCCAGGCUUGUUUUUAGGGAUGAAACCAAGACCUCUUCCAGCUAAGUUACCUAAAGGGGAAAUGAUAAGGUUUAUGAUGGAGUAAUGAGGAAGGCCAAGAGGCUCCUAGGAGUUCCAGGACAGAUAGCACUGUACAUGCAGGUCAUUAGCAGCUGCAACAGAAAGAAUCAGUUGGAGUUGGGUAGGAGCUCUUAGCAAGCAUUUGCCAAAGAUGUUGGAGGGCCUGAGGCAUAUGCACCACCACUGACAUGAAAUGCCUUUAUUGUCUGCCACUGUUUCCUUCACUACCAAAGUCAGCAAUUUCUUCUGCUGGCCCACUGCCCCAGUAAGCUCUUAAGCCCAAAGUUUAUUUCGUGACCACUCAUAAGUAAUUUUACCUGCCAAAAGGAAUUUUUUUUUUAUUCAUGACUUGGUAGAGAAUGAAGCCAAUUAAAUACUCUCUGUUCUUAGCCUGAUGUGGUGGCGCACACCUUUAAUCCUAGCACUGCGGAGGCAGAGGCAAGCCAGAUCUCUGAGUUUGAGGCCAGCCUAGUCUCCAGAAUGAGUUCCAGGAUAUAGGCAGGGCUACACAAAGAAAUCCUGUCUUGAAAAACCAGAUUUAUGUAUCUUUUUUCUCCCACUGGCAAGAUUUCUUCAUGGGUAAAGGAACAUGGAUCGAACCCAAUGACAGCCUGUGUUGGUUCUCCAUUUCCAUCCUACGAGGUAGGAGGAGGAAACCAAUUACUGUAAGUUCUCUGAUCUUCACGUGAGUACAUGUAAACACACACACACACACACACACACACACACACACACACACAGAGAGAGAGAGAGAGAGAGAGAGAGAGAGAGAGAGAGAGAGAGAGAACGGACUAUCUUAGGUGACUGGAAAUUUAUCAAUUAUGUUAGACUUAUAAUCCUUGGUCCAAUGAUCUAUGUGGACAGAAUGUAGACCCAUCUGACCACAAGGGCUUUCCUAGGCCAACUUCCUUUUGAAGGAAGUACUGUCUGCCCAGGCAGCAAUCUCCAACCACACCUGUGGGUUUUUUUUAGAGGGAUCUUAAGCUACCACUUCCACAGAAGAUCUGGCUCUAUAAGAGACCAGAAAAUGAUGGGAGACAAUAAGAAAUGAGCCCUUGACUCAACAGUGUCUUCAGCCCUUCUCUUGUUUCUGUGACCAAAUUCCUUACAGGAAGUAACUCAAGGGACAGAGAGUUUAAUCUGGCUCUUGGUUUUAUGGGAUACAGUCUGCCAUGAUGAGGAUGGCAUGGCAGUGGGUGGUUCUGUAACAGUUGGAGAUAUGAGGUGUAUUUCAGAGGACCAGGAGACAGAGACAGGGCAGGAAACGGGUCGGACUCUAGACCUCAAGGUCCUAGCAAUUCACUUCUUCCAACUAGACUUGACCUUCCAAAGGUUCUACAAGCUUCCAAAACAGAGACACCAGGUGAGGACCAAGAGGGCAAACAUGUGAGCUUAUGGGACACAAUUUACAUCCAAGCCAUAACACACUCCAGUAUUUUGUUUUCACUUUAAAUACAAAACCAUGGGUAAUGUGGCUAUAUCAAAAUUAAACAAAAGAGAAACCUUACUUCUUCUGGCCUGCUCUGCAUCAUGUUGUGCUUUGGGGAGCACAGCGAUGAACCUCACUGUGUGUUGAGUCCAUAUGUAUGCAUACACAGGAUAUUUGGAAGAUGUAAAACUACCCUGCAAAGUGAACAAGCACUUCUCUGAUGUUUCUUUUUUGUAAGCUUAAAUCCAGGAUCUUGAGGGAGUGGUCAACCGAUGACAGCCCUAACUUAAGACCCAUCCCCUGUGAGAGAGUCAACCCUCAACACUUUUAAUGAUACUCUGCUAUGCUUGAAGACAGGAACCUAUAACUGUCUCCUGUGAGGCUUCAUCCAGCAGCAAAUGGAAACAGAUUCAGAGACCCACAUCCAAAUCAGGCACAGCUUGGGGAGCUUUGUGGAAGAGUGAGGAAUAGAAGUGUGUGAGUCAGAAGGGUCAAGGAAACCACACAAAGACUCAGUCAACUAACCUGGGCCCACGGGGGCUGACAGAGACUAAACCACCAACCAAAGAGCAUGCAUGGGGCUAGACCUAGACCUCCUGCACAUUUGUAGCAAAUGUUCAGUUUUGUCUCCAUGUAGAUCUCCUAACAAUUGGAGUGAAAGCCUACCAUUGGAUCCCCUUCCCCUGACUGAACUCUCUGGUUGGGUCUCAGUUCUAGAGGAUAUGCUUAGUCCUGUUGGAACUUGAUGUCCCAGGAUGGUGUGGUGCCCAAGGGGAAAGGGUAAUGGGGAGAGGGAUUUAUAAGGGUAGGACUGGCAAGAGAGGUGGGAAUAGGGCUGUGACCAGGAUGCAAGGUGAAUAAAGAAAUUGUUGGAAAACAAAACAAAACCAAAAAACAGGACCAGGCAUGCCGUUCAUGCUUCUCCAACAGAAAUACCUACAGAGUCUCUAUUGUUCCCCUCAGGUAACAAAUGCCACAGGUCCCAGCCAGUCAAAACCACAGCUGCUUCUUCAGCACACCAAGAAGAGAAAGAUGCCUUGUUUUAACUGUUGAAGUUGGUUUUUUGGGGAGGAUGGUUUCUGAUGCUGAGUUUUCUGGGUGGCCUUUCUAGAACUGUGUACAAACGCAUCUGCAGACAGUCCUGGAGGUUGCCUGGAAAGGUUAGCUCCAUUCACCUACACUGUUUUCUUCAUAAAAGGAAAAGGAGCAGGCAAGGAAAAGGGAAGUACAACUAGAAGCAAGGCCAGGGAGUCUACACCCAGUCUCAGGGUCCCUAGUCACAGGUGGCCUUUUCCAUUUCCUUUGAUCUCCUACAUUUUACCAUGUUACCUUGGCUCAGCAAGACCCUGAUGACUGAAGUGACACUCUAGCCCCUUCCCCCAUUAUCCACCUACUCACAACAGGCCCCCUUUGAGCAGAAGCAGGACAUCUUCCAAGCCCUUGAAGCUAAGUCAUGCUGGAGACUCAUUCCUUUGAACGACUGGAGGUUAUGUUAUAGGGAUAUUUAACAUCUACUGAGGGUUCAGCGCAUCAAUGCUUUAACCUUUCAAACAACUCUCCUAUUAUUCUUUUUAAGGAAAUACCGCAGAAACUAGGUCGGAAUUAAUGUAUUCUUUGUCACCGCAGAGCAAUCUGAUGGCCGUUUGUCCCCAAUCUCACCAUGGUAGUCCAAGAAGCAAGUUCUAAAUAAGCAGUGACCAGAUUUAGGUUGCUAAGAAAUAAAAAAAAAAAAAAAAAAAAAAAAAAAAAAAAAAAAGCAACUGUUCUGAUUGAUAUGUCAGGGGUAGAUUUCUUGCCCCCUCUGGUCACUCCCAGCAAAUUCAGACUUUAUUUUCCUUCUGGGUGGAGUCCUUGGGGGUGUAGCAUUAGAGGUCACGUGGGUGAGUGGCAUGAGCAGGAAGCUGGCAGGCUUAGGCUGGUGUGAGGUGUGAGAGAUGGCGGGAGGGGUGUGAAGUUGUACUGAAUCAUGUCAGCUUUGGCUUGGGAUUCACAACAACAGCUACAUGGACAAUCCACUGUGGGGACUUAGGGCAAGCAGGUGGUGGUGACACAGAGGUAACCUGCCCCAACCUGCCCCCAUUAGAUGUAAUUAUGCUGACGAUUCCUGCUCUGGGCAGCUGAAGAUCCAUCAAGGCCCACCAGGACUACUAGGAACCCUCAGUUUUAGAUGGUGGCCAGUCAGCUGUCAAAAUGGGCCACAGUUGGUAGCAACAGAAGGAGCCUGAAGCCUGAAGCAAUUUUUCUUUGAAAUCAGCUUCUAAAUUGCAGGGAGUCCAAGUAAAUUGACACAUUUACUACCUUGAACUCCUUUCUCAUUCUGCUUCAGUGUCUCGGCCUUUCCUCCAUGGACCAAUUCUCAUCGAUGGGAUGGGGUGGGCUCCCUAUCCCAGACAGGAUGAUGCUCUGAUCUCUCUGUUGGCCUGCGAAGGGACUCAGGUGACAAUUUCUGCCUGCGUGCACAUGUUCAUUUCCAACAUUUACGAGAGCAUUUGAUCCAUGUGACUGAAAUACUUUUCAUAAAAGAAAACUGUAACCCAGGAGGAGGAACCCCUGCUUAAAAAAAUAAAGAUCAAAGAAUUAAGAAGAAAAGUGGUAUCAAGCACACAGUGUGAGAUCAAUACUGUGUGCUCUCUUUACGGUUUGCGCUUCUGGGUGGGAAAGCCAUGCUCUUAGCUAGCAGGUGCCUCUUUAUAAUUUAGCGGGUGUAAAGUCUAAGGGGUUUCCUUUACUAGUCGGAAGUCAAAUAACAAGAAGCAUUCAUGAGUUUAGCAUCUGAUUAGCUGUGUAGGUUGUACAAUGAUGUCUUCCUGAGAAGGAGUCCAUGAUCCAGGCCUGACUAGGCAGUUUUAAGCAAUUAGGAGUGGAAAUUGAUAGAUCUGAAAUUGAUAGAGCUGCAGGCACAGGUGCAGAUUCAGGCUGGUAGAAAUGUCGGCUCUAGCACAGCGGAGCUGAGCAAAGGAAACGCAUCAUUCAUGCUUUGCAGUCUUCAUUCAUAAUGGGAAACAUAACUAACGGCCAGUCUGUGAUGAGGUACAAUAACUCUGUUUGGGGAGCGUUCAGGCAGUCUCAUCAAAGAUACGAGCCCGGAUGCCUCACCAUCAUCUGCACUGUCCCUCAGCCAAUCAGAUUCUGGCUGGUAACAGAGGCCUCUUGAGCUCUGACAUCUGCUCUCCUAUGGUUGUCUUCCUCCCAUCAUCCUCACCAUCUCUCUCCAUACGGCAACUGCAAUCUUCACCUCAGAGAACCUUUAGUGAGGUCCCUCGAGGGAGUCUCCUUUUCUCUGCAAUGGCCACAAUUGAUAGGGUUUGUGCGCAUGGCUGCAACUGGAGGAACAACCUGUUUGAUAUAAAACUGUUGUUUCACAUGUUGACGAUACAAAAGCUGCUUCAAGUUGCUGUUGCUGGGAGGGGUGGGGGGAUGUGAGGUACUUUCUUCUCAGCUCAGCGGGUAAUAUUGCCUGGUUUCUGAGAACUGUGGAUAGACAGAAGAUAACAGGGAACUCUGUGUCUCAGAUUGGGGAAGAUGUUUACCCCAAAAAGUUAACAGGGCCCUGGUCUUUGAAGGAGAAGGCCCAUGGAUAAGUAUAAAGUGAGAGGUGUCUCUAGUAUUGGUCCUGUAACCAGAGAGGUUAGCACAGUGAUCAGGGACAAGGAGUCAGUCAUCCCUGAGCAACAAGGCUCGUGUGACUCUGUGGCAAGCUAACAUGAGGGAAAACAUCCAGAUUUUAAGUAAAAUAUGUGACAAUGUACAUAUUGAUGUGAGGAAAACAUUGGGGGUAUGGAGAAAGAAUGUUAGAGACAGUGAACCUCCCAAGGCAUGCUUUCACAGGGUGAUAAAACACAACUUCAGUGUCUGUCACAAUUCAAAGUGCCAUAAUUUUAUCACCCUCCUACGCAAUACUAAGCUAUUCUGAGUUCUGCUGUUUCUUAAUGCUCUCACCUCAGUAUGCCCAAGAUGUCUGAAAAAUGAGCAUGUAAAAAAAAAUCUAUUUUUCCCGGCAUGGAUGGAGAAUUUAUUAUGGAAUGUGCAACUUGGCGCGUGCUGCCUUUUUUCAUGUCGUCAUGCUCUGAGUUGAGAUAGGUUUUGGCUGAGAGCAGAAGUCCAAUUAAUUUGCCUGAUACAGUCUCGUGCGCAAGAACUGAAGUCUUGUUGCUCUUUGCUGGUUUGAUUCCUUUGCUUAGCCACCGAUCCAAGCAGAGCAGAGAAGACUGCCAGCUGCCCUUCUGCAAGGACAGCAUCCUCCCCUCCUGCUUACACACAGCUUACAUACACUGUGCCAGGGAUUUCUAUGUUUUGCUUUGUCUAGCUUCCUUUGUUAAAACACAAAAACAAAACAAAACCCUUUGAACUCCCAUGAGGACAACGAAAAGGAAGCCAGAGGAAGUGGAAGCACUUGAUGUUAUCUUAUUACCAUCUGCUCCCACCCCUCCUCCCAUUAGACAUUUACUCUUAAUGAAGAAUCCAAACUUUGUGUGAACCACUGCCCUGUCCUGUGUGGCAUGGUCAUGGAAAACUGCCUGAGGAAGCUAGGGACUGAGAAAAAGGACAGACACAGUACAGAAAGUUCAGAAAAGCCAGGAUCAGGUGGGCUAUCGGUGCUCAAUUCAAAACCUCAGUGAGUUUAUUGUGAACAGCACAGUGGGGGGGAUUUGCUCGUCUGGACAGUCUGUGCAUCAGCAAUUUCAGGCUGUAAGCGUCAGAAAGGAGGAAGCCACAGCUACUGAUUAUUUUGUUGUUGUUGUUUUGCACACACUAGUCGGUCAUUUAACGUUUGUACUUGUACACACUGACAGUUCUGAGCCUGAUCUGUAUUCGGAAGGUUUUGCCAUUCUGACAUAUGUCUGAGGCAUUGGGUCCUUAACAUGGCUGUGCCCAUGCCAAUAAUACACAUCACUCAGGAUUUCAUCUCCUCUUGACAUGUUUAUUCUAGGCUUCCUGUGCUCCCCACUGACAGUCACCUCACAUGUUGUCCUUCUUCCUCACUGUACUUUUCAAUUUUAUGACCACUGAGACCUUCAGCAGUAUGUGCAUCUUCCUAGAAGCAAGGCGGGAGUUGCAGGCAAGGCCCAGGUAGACCAGUUUUCCCAUUCCACUUCUAUUAAAAAUUGUCUGGACUUGUAAAAUGGUAGUUCUUUGUGUAAAUUAUUCUGGCUCUGGGGCUUGGGCUGUCCUAAAGAGUCCACCAGAGGCCAUAUUGCUUUACAAAUUGUCUUUUCAGCAAUAUGACAAGCCAUUAAACUUAAGGGAGCAAGCUUCUAUCUUUCUCCAGCAGGGCACAUAUUCGCAGGGACUAGAGAAAGAGGACAUAAUGACUUGUCUAAGGAGCUUUCUAAGCCAUGUCAUUUCUGUUUGGAACUUAAUGACACCUCACCUUAAAAAUUGAACUGUAACUCCAGCACUCUGGAGGCUGAAGCAUGAGAAUUUCCAUGAGUUUAAGAACUGCCUAGAUUACAUAGCCAGUAGAAAUAUAGUCAGGGCUGCAUAGCAAGACCUCAGCUCAAGAAACAAAAGCAAACAAAAGAGGAACUGAGCCAGCUUCGAGCAUCAGCUUAUUAAAAGUUAUGCUUUCCUAGGAGAGUUUCGAGAGCCAUGCCAGAGGAGUGACUCCCUCCUUUAACACCCAUCACUAAGUGUUCCCAGCCCUGUCACUUUUGCUAGCACCCCAGCA